GGGAAUUACCCUGUGAACGCGAGGAAAUAAUAGAAACUCCCUUAAGUAGUUUAAGUAAACGCCUUUAAAGGCGAGUCUUAGAAGCCCUUCCCUGCGCUCGGAAAAUCGAAAGUCGCAACCCUGCUUGGCUUCUGGUCUCUGACCUGGUUUUUGCUCUCCCGCUUCCUCACUACGUCACCGAGAAAACUGUGAAACAAAGAUUCGUUUCGCUCAGUGCUCCGGGCCCGCGCCCUGGAAAGUUUCUGCGUCUCCAGCUGCGUUUGCCGCGUAGGUCGCGUCGAGCUCUCCUCCGAGAGGGAGGUGUGAGUGAAGGCGUGAGGAGUCGGCCGCUGCCCGUGGGCUCGCUUCUCGCAGGCUCCUGCUCAUUCAGUCAUCUUUCAUUCUUCUCCCCACAUUGACUCUCUCGUUGCUGAGCCCUACUGGAAGAAAUCGUGUCCCGAGUGUUUCCCAAGCUUUCUCAAGUGAUGGGGAGACUUGCAGGUGGUUUGAGAACAAAGUUCUGUGCAUUAGUAUCCAUCCUCCCAACGGGUAAUGACACUUCAAUUGCACUUAAGGAGGACCACCCCUCACCACUGGAUGCAAACUUACUUCGCCUGUUUAUCAAGGCAGUCAUGUCAGCUGAAACACCAAUCACACUGAAUGUCAAUCCUCAGGAUCUGCAGGUCCAGACAUUCACCGUAGAGAAGCUGCUGGAGCCUCUCAUAAUCCAGGUUACUACACUUGUAAAUUGUCCCCAGAAUCCUUCCAACAGGAAAAAAGGACGUUCUAAAAGAGCCAGAGUCCUUCUAGCUUCUGUGGAGGAAGCAACUUGGAAUUUAUUAGACAAGGGAGAGAAGAUUGCUCAAGAAGCCACAGUUUUAAAGGAAGAGCUUACUGGGGCACUUGAGGAUGUUCGCAAAGAAAGUGAAGCUCUGAAAGUAUCAGCUGAGAGAUUUGCAGAUGAUCCCUGUUAUCUCGCAAAAAGGGAGGCUGUGGUUCAAGCUGCCCGUGCCUUGUUGGCUGCAGUUACCAGACUCCUUAUCCUCGCAGAUAUGAUUGAUGUCAUGUGUCUCUUGCAGCAUGUGUCAGCUUUUCAGAGGACAUUUGAGUCUCUUAAAAAUGUUUCCAACAAAUCUGACCUCCAGAAAACCUACCAGAAGCUUGGGAAGGAGCUGGAAAAUCUGGACUAUUUAGCCUUCAAACGUCAGCAGGACCUAAAAUCUCCAAAUCAGAGGGAUGAAAUUGCAGGUGCCCGGGCCUCAUUGAAGGAGAACUCCCCCAUAUUGCAUUCAAUUUGUUCAGCUUGUUUGGAACAUUCUGAUGUCGCUUCCCUCAAAGCCAGCAAGGACACAGUUUGUGAAGAAAUUCAGAACGCCCUCGAUGUAAUUUCAAAUGCUUCACAAGGCAUCCAGAAUGUGUUAGUCCCACCAGAACCUCAGGCAGCAACCCUGGGAAGUGCCCUUGAUGAGCUUGAGAAUUUAAUUGUCUUGGAUCCACUCACAGUGACUGAGGAGGAAACAAGACCAUCCCUAGAGAAACGCCUCGAAGCCAUUAUCAGUGGGGCUGCUCUGUUGGCUGACUCUUCAUGCACGAGGGAUUUCCAUCGGGAGCGAAUUAUCGCAGAAUGCAAUGCCAUUCGCCAGGCUCUCCAGGACCUGCUUUCAGAGUACAUGAACAAUACUGGAAAAAAGGAAAGGAGUAAUACCUUGAAUAUUGCAAUAGAAAACAUGUGCAAGAAGACAAGAGACCUUCGCAGACAGCUCCGUAAGGCUAUUAUAGAUCAUGUGUCAGACUCCUUUUUGGAUACGACAGUCCCACUUUUGGUUCUCAUUGAAGCUGCCAAGAAUGGCCGGGAAAAGGAAAUAAAAGAAUAUGCUGCAAUAUUUCGUGAACACACCAGCAGGCUUGUAGAGGUGGCAAAUCUUGCUUGUUCCAUGUCAACAAAUGAAGAUGGAAUUAAGAUUGUCAAAGUUGCAGCCAAUCACCUGGAAACCUUGUGUCCACAGAUUAUUAAUGCUGCACUUGCUUUGGCUGCAAGACCCAAAAGCCAAGUGGUCAAAAAAACCAUGGAAAUGUACAGAUGCACGUGGGAGAAUCAUGUCCAUGUCCUCACUGAAGCUGUAGAUGACAUUACAAGCAUUGAUGACUUCCUUGCUGUAUCUGAGAGCCAUAUCCUAGAAGAUGUCAACAAAUGUAUCAUAGCCUUGAGAGACCAGGAUGCUGAUAAUUUAGAUCGAGCUGCAGGUGCUAUCAGAGGACGGGCCGCAAGAGUUGCUCACAUUGUCACAGGUGAAAUGGACAGUUACGAGCCGGGAGCUUACACAGAAGGUGUGAUGAGAAAUGUUAACUUCCUGACAAGUACUGUAAUUCCGGAAUUUGUAACACAAGUGAAUGUUGCCUUGGAAGCCUUAAGUAAAAACUCUUUGGAUGUGUUUGAUGAUGAUCAGUUUGUGGACAUCUCAAAAAAGAUCUAUGAUACAAUUCAUGAUAUUAGAUGUUCAGUCAUGAUGAUUCGGACUCCAGAGGAACUAGAGGAUGUUUCUGACCUGGAAGAAGAUCACGAGGUCCGCAGUCACACCAGUGUUCAGACUGAAGGGAAAACUGAUCGGGCUAAGAUGACUCAAUUGCCUGAGGCAGAAAAGGAAAAGAUAGCUGAGCAAGUUGCUGAUUUCAAGAAAGUAAAGAGUAAGCUGGAUGCUGAGAUUGAGAUAUGGGACGAUACGAGCAACGAUAUCAUUGUUCUUGCCAAGAAGAUGUGUAUGAUCAUGAUGGAGAUGACAGACUUCACAAGGGGAAAAGGACCACUGAAGCAUACAACUGAUGUGAUCUAUGCAGCUAAAAUGAUAUCAGAAUCAGGAUCAAGGAUGGACGUCCUUGCUCGGCAGAUUGCCAACCAGUGCCCAGAUCCAUCAUGCAAACAGGACUUGUUGGCCUACCUGGAACAGAUUAAAUUCUACUCUCACCAGCUGAAAAUCUGCAGUCAGGUUAAAGCUGAGAUCCAGAGCCUGGGAGGAGAGCUCAUCAUGUCAGCAUUGGACAGUGUCACCUCCCUGAUCCAAGCAGCCAAAAAUUUAAUGAAUGCUGUAGUGCAAACAGUGAAAAUGUCUUACAUUGCCUCAACCAAGAUCAUCCGAAUUCAGAGUCCUGCUGGGCCCCGGCACCCAGUUGUUAUGUGGAGAAUGAAGGCUCCUGCAAAAAAACCCUUGAUUAAAAGAGAGAAACCAGAGGAAACUUAUGCAGCUGUCAGACGAGGCUCAGCAAAGAAAAAAAUCCACCCAGUGCAAGUGAUGAGUGAAUUUAGAGGAAGACAUAUCUACUGAAACCACUAUUCUACUCUAGUGUUUAUAUGACAAAGUCCUGGCUAAACACACUGCUUUAUUUUUACACUUGAUUAGUUCCGUAAGUUCACUAACUUAGAAUUUAACCCACAAAUAAUGUAAAACACUGAAAGCCUAACCAACAUGAGCAACGUAUAUUGGGGAUCAUGCCAUUGUCAUUUCUGCAUGGCCAGCACCUAAUAAGGAAUCAACAGAUGCUUGUUGAAUGAAUGAAAUCUUCAGGGUCAUUCAGCCUCUCCCAUCACGGAGAAUAUCUUAUAUUCAUUACUAAAUGAACACAGGAGACUCAAAUGAGUCCUGUUCACCUGUAACAGCUUAAGUAUACUCACCCUCUUCAUUUUAAAUUAAAAUAGUGAUGUGAGCUCUUGACUUGGUUUUCAACGGAAACAAAAGAUUUCAUAAAAUACUCUCCCAUUUAAUCUCCAUACUUCCUUUAUCUGAUGUAACCUGACAGACAUGUGUGAUUCCUUCUACAGGAAAAAAAAAAAAAUCACUCUCUAGAUAUUUGUAACAGUUGUUGUCAACUGAUUGGGCUAAUAUCCAUCAGAAACUAACCAAGCUUGAGCAAUCAAGUUACUUUCUGGAUUUUCAAGGUCCGCCUUAAUUAUUUAUGAAACAAUUUAUUAACAUUAUAAAGUUUACAAUGAGUCUUCAUGCCACAAGUGUGCAUUUCAGGACUCCACUGUGUUCAGCUGUUCUGCACGUUGAGUUCUGGAUUUAAAAAGGCCCACCAGAACACUACAUAUAUGGAGGAAGAGUUAUCAUCCGUUGGGGAAAUGGGCAUUUAACUCUAUCCCCAAGCGAGUUAUGACUGAUAACAGAAAUGCAAGGAGUUCUGCAUGACUCCGUUUGUAUCACCUUGCAAGUGUAAUUAGAAGGAAAAGGCCAGUUUGAAAAAUAUUUUGUCAUUGAGUAAAAUAUAACUCAAAAAAUGUGUGUGGUACCGCUGAACUCUGAAGUAGAGUUAGUGGCGAUGAAGCUGGAGUGAUUUUAAUAACUUUUUAAAAUAAAAGUCUGAGGUCAUUUUAUAACUGCAAUCAAUGUGCUGAUGCCGAAUUGAGUUCAUAAUGCACUUUAUAAUAGUUUCAGGGUCUAGCGCGUUGCUUCUCUCUUUCUACUUCUUUCUGUCGGUCUGUCUCUGGAGGAGCUAAGUUUCAGUUUUACCUUUUCUCAUGCAUAGAGUUCCCAUUCACAGGAUUUUAAACAUGAAUUUCCUAUUCUACUUUAUCAAAAUUAUACCCACAUCAUAACUUCACUUUGUAAAACAUUUCCAUCAAUGAACUGUUUCAACAGCCAUGUCAUCUUAGUUUGACUAGGUAAAGUUUAAACAUGCAACAUCAGCUGAUGUCAGGAGGGCCAGUUUGGGUAAAAGAAUGUGUGAAACAUAAGAAGGCAUAAAGGUUGAGAGCAUGAUGUGUGUGGUAUGUUGAACAAAAUGGUAUGGGAAAUGUUGAACAAAAUGGUAUGGGAAAGGGAUUUAAUCGGUCAAUAUGUUAAUAAAUUAUAGGGAAAAUGUAAACUUUUUUCACUGUAAUAUGUUAUAUUGUUCUUCCAAAAUGCUAGGUUACCUGGGCUAAGUAUUGAUACAUACACUUUCUAAGAGUGAAAGCAAUAUGCUCCUGCCUCUCUUGCAGUGUACACUGGCCCACGGUCAAUAUUAUUCUGGACAGAGUCCACUCCCUCAAAGAAAAGGCAGUGCAGAAAGGAAUUAGAGAAUCCAGAUAAUUAUAUUGUCCAGGACUAGCUAGCUAACUGAGGCAAAACAGGGAAUUUCUUUUGUUGACAUGCUACCAUCAUUUUCUGUUCUAAGAUAGACAUUACAAGAGUUACAUCUAUGACACUUCCUUUUGUCAGGUAGAAGUAUGAAUUUACAAUUUAGUUGAGAAAAUAAUUUCUUAAAAAAAAAUUACCAAACUACUAGUAUAUCUUAGUUCCUAAAGCCACAUGCUCAAGAAUCAUAAGAGUCUCAUUUACAAAAUCUAAUGUCUGUUUAAUUCUACAUCAGCUUUCCACAGGCUAGAGUUUAGAAUGCAGCGCUGGAUGCCAAAAGAACAUAACUAAUUUGAAAUUAUACACUUAUCAAAUAACCUCUGUAUCUAUCUUAAGAAAAUGACUCUUUAAAAAUGAGAUGUGAACAGGUCCUCCUCUUCAAAGUAGAGGGAUUUCCAGCUUAGCUCAAAGCAAACUAUAAUUAAGCAAAACUUAAUUUAAAAAAAAAAACAUUAACUUGGAGAAUGUCCCAGGAGUAAAGUCUGGUGCAAUAAUCAAAGGUGCAAUAAGAACAAGAUGUACAGAGCUGAGAAGGACAUCUGUCCACCUGACUCAAUUCCUUCAGUGGGCAGCAUUUCAGGAUUUAAUUCAAUUCAAACCCGCUAAUAGUAUAAUACUUAGAAGAAAAAUUAGCAGCAAAUAUAUUAACAAAUCCUCCCAUUAUAAAACAUAGUUAAAUGAAUCUAAUCAGUAAGUAUGAAGGUGGUGUAUAUAUUUAUAACUAAGCCCUUCUUCUGGCAGGGGAAUGACAGAAAUUUCUUAAUGAGAGUGAUUGCUUGGUGGCCCAUCUAUGCAUCUUUUGAAAUUGCAUCACAGAGAUUGGUGCUUCUUCUAAUGAUACUUUUGCUUUAUCUUGCUAAUCAAAACUCACCUUUCUCUUUUAGUGAAAUUGAGUUAUGUUAAUUUAUGAAGGAAAAAUCAUCUUUGGGAGGGAGAAGAGGGUUUAUAUCACCUUUGAAGGACAGCAGUUCCGUCCUGGUUAGCCACCAGCAUCACUGGCAAACAUUAGACUGAAAUCAGAAUGGUAAGUUAGAAAAUAUCUGUGAAUCCACUCAAGAUUUUUUAGUUAGAAAAACUGGAAGGUUUCCAUUAAAUAGGAAAGGUGAUAAAUAUAAAUCUUUCCCUUUUACUUAUCACAAGUGGAAAUUAAUGGCUUAAAAUAUUUCCUUCUUUCUAAUGGACUGAAUGAGUCUGGAAAAAAAUUCAAACACUAAACUUCUAAAGAAAUUUGUUAAUUAUUCCCUUUCUGCUUGUCUUAUGACAUGAACGAAAACUGUGAAUGUAUUAGAAAAUACAAUAUUCUUAAAAUUGCCUUCUGGUCUUUGCAAAUCUCUAAAUUUAUCAGUAUUAAGAUAACAUAUACGUUCCCCAUAAAAUUCCUUCUGGAUGAGGGGUAAGUACCUCCACAACUCUAUAGAAAGGCCCGCGUCGUCAGGCUGACAUCCUUGCACACUUAACAUCUUCAGAGAGGUCAGUUUUCAAGUCACAGUAAAGCAAGAUAUCUAAAAUUGUGAGCACACCGUUAAGUGCCCAAUCUGGGCCUCAAACCUAAUAAUUAGUGCUCCUCAAAUUUAAUGAGUGGCUGAAAAGACUAAUGUCUGACAACAGAGAAAGUAUUUCCAGUGACUUCCUACACCUUCACAUUCAGGGUGGUCUUUUCAUCUCACCAUCCCUGAGCUCCGUAUCUUCCUAUAAACUGCUGACAGUUUGCUACCAGAAUGAUGCAGCAGACCUGCUCAUCCCAAUCAGUUACCCCCAAAUAAUGCCCUUCCCUCUUAGUCCAAAAUCUCUCUUGCUCAUCUCUCAUCCCCUUAGGAGACCAUCCCACAUAUCAAUUGAUUAAUACAUUCUGUAGCAUUCUAGUUAAAAGUAUUAAUUUUAAUUCCCAAUGCCAUUAUCUUUUUUCUUUUUUUUUCUAUUCCAGAAAACAUUCUUAUCUUUUUCGGUGUCAAAUGAACACUUCCAUGCUAGGCACUGUGGUUCCCAUGGAUACAUAUUUCUGUACAGUGGCAGAAUGAGUAGAGUGAGAUCGAGACUUUUCCUGGUGAUAUUUACCUUUCUCUAGUGAAGUCCUUGCAGAGCUGCCAGCCUGUUUCACCUUCAUUGUAACUAAUUCUCUAGGUUAGCAAAGCAAGCGCCAGAAUAUCAAGUUGAGUAAAAUCUGUACUUUUGUCUGCCUGCCUUUUGUUAAGACAGGCUGCUUAUUGCAUAUUUAGGUAUCAAACAGCCAUUUUUCUUUUUGGAAAGUCUAGGUUAGCAAAGCAAGCGCCAGAAUAUCAAGUUGAGUAAAAUCUGUACUUUUGUCUGCCUGCCUUUUGUUAAGACAGGCUGCUUAUUGCAUAUUUAGGUAUCAAACAGCCAUUUUUCUUUUUGGAAAGUCUAGGUUAGCAAAGCAAGCGCCAGAAUAUCAAGUUGAGUAAAAUCUGUACUUUUGUCUGCCUGCCUUUUGUUAAGACAGGCUGCUUAUUGCAUAUUUAGGUAUCAAACAGCCAUUUUUCUUUUUGGAAAGUCAGAAAUACUUCUGUUUGACUGCAUCAGAAAAUUUAGGGGCAUCCAGUUAAAAGACUGUAACUUCCAUAUUAUUUUAAUAAUUCUUUUUAAGUCAACUAGAAAAAGGUCUGCAACCUUAAAAAUUUAUAUUUAUUUAUCAUUUUCAUGUAUAUGUCACAUACCAGAAAACAACACUUAAUCGGACAAAAACCCUAUAGCAUUUUUUGUCAUAACUCUCUUUCCCUAUCAUUAUAAUAUCUUUAAUAUUAGUAAAUAUUUUGCAUGUUACUGCCAAAUAGACAAGCCAGGCCUAAUGACAGAAGAGUCUACACACAAAGUAGUUUAAAGUUUUCAUUUUGGUUCUUUGGGUCUAUUAGGAUAGAAAAAUGUGGAUGUUACUAAAACCAGGUGUAUGCAACUAAAGAGGCAAUCAAGGUUUUAACACUAUCCUAGACAUCUGAAAGAGAGAAGGAUUAAAAUUUUUAAUGCAUUCUUUUGCCAUUUUAACUAAUUUACAUGAACAAGAAACAUUUUCUAUUAAAGCAAAAGAAAGAAUAAUUUCCUAUAUUAACCAUUUUACAUGUGAAUUUUCUUCCCCUACCAAGAUAGACAGGACUUAUUCCUGAACACUUCAAAAGAAGAUUAUACUAACUGAGCGAACCGCUUCCAAAUGGAACCCAACCUUACCAGAAUCCCACCUACAGACAAUAGAUGGUUUGUAGGGCUGGCCUUUAUGUAGAUCCUGGGAUGAGAUGUUUCAUGGCUGCAGGCUGGCUUCUAGAAUCCAACAGUCCCCACUGGUUUAGGAGAACAAAACCCAAGGAAUGAACUUCAAAAUGAAUUUAACGAGUUGGAGGGGGAAAAAAGCAGUAAAUACAGAGCAGUUCUAAAAGAAAGUGGGUAAGAAAGUGACAGAGGUAGAGGAGGGAAUAAGAAAGGUAGUUGCAGAAGCAGGUAACUUUUACACCAGAGGGAGGAAGAGUUUUGAGUUCUAUGACGAUUAGGCAGCCUUCUCCUGAGGAAGAUUUUAAGGAUAGGAUAGGGCACUUAUCUUUGGCAGUUUGGGUGAAGUCGUGUCAGGGCAGAGGACAAACUAUAUAACUUUUGAGGAUCAUUUAGUGAUAUUGUUUGCAAGAUGAGAAAUUGAAAUUCAGCCAAUUUUUUAGCAUGUUGGUGGGUGAAAUUCUCCCCAGUAUCAGAGUUAAUCAGGAUAUUAUAUAUUUAACAAAUAUCUUUUGAGCAACUUUGAUGUUCCAGGCACUGCUCCAGGUUCUUAGGAUAUACCAGAUAACAAAACAAACAGUGAUUCUUGCCCUUAUGGGCAGACUCUGUGUUGAAUGCUAUUACCUUAUUUAAUUUUUUCAAUAACCCUAGGAGAUAAACAUUAUCAGCUCUAUUCCUUAGGAAAAGAAACUAAGGAGACGGAUCUUGCUUGAAAACUCACUGGCCUUAAAAUUUGGUUGCACUCUAGAGUCUGAACUUUUAGCCACCACACCAUCCAGAUUUCCUGGAAAAUGGGAUUGGAUUUUUUAGUUGAAAAUGAGAUGCACAUUUCAAAUGCUGGCUGGCUUCCUAAGUAAGAGCAAAAGGAUCAAAACUUAAAUAUAUAUGGUAUAUAAAUCCAUGCCUACAUCACUCAAAGCAAAUAAAAAGCAGGUACAUAAGUAAUUAGCUGAACGUUAUAACCUCUAAUAAUUGAAUAAAAAUAUCAGAUAUAUGAGGAGUGAAUAUUUCAUCUACGUGAUCUGAAGUCAGAUGAAAACACCAAAUUACUUUCACUUCCACAGAGGUGAAAUCUUCCAUGGAGAUGCCUGUUUAAAAUCCAUCUUUAGCAUUGACUGGUGAAAACAAUUUGUUGACACCAUUUCUUUCCUUCUUUACUGCUAAUGUGUGUUUAAAAUUAUAUAUCCCAGGGAGGAUGGGCCAAGGAUUACUGAAAUAAGCUAAAGUUUCUUUGUAUUCCACACUGACUGAACCAUAGGAAAUGUAUGUUUCCUUCUUUAUAGAGGUAACAAUGUAUACAGUAUGUGUCUGACUGUAAGCAAAUUUAGUCCUUUAACUUUACAUGGUGCUUCUUCCUAGAGACAACUGAAGUCUAGACUCUCCCUCUUGCCCAUGUUGCUGGAUAGACCUCCCUAUCUCAGGCCUGGGGUAGUUAAAUGACUUCCUAAUCUUUCUUAAAGUAGGGCCAGAAAUGUUUCCUUAAACUGGGAAUGUAUUUAUUUGGGGGUCUUCAAUUUUGGGUACCUGGCAGUCAUGAUGGUGCCUGCUGCCAACUGUCGUAAAAGGAAGCUCUGGAGGGAAACUCUUUCUGAAAGAGGCUCAGAUUUCUAACAACCAUCUCUAAAAAUCUCUUCAAUGUAGGAUAUAUAAAACAGCCACUUAAAUGGUAUUAGCAGAAUACUAAUUCUACUUAUGUCCUGUGUUUUCAUUCCAAAUGAGGUAUUUUUUAGUUAUAAAGUUUUCUUUCCUUUGCAUUUUCAAGAAGAAUGCUUAUUUUUUGUUCUGGGUAUUUGGUCUUAAAGAUACGUAGCAUCUCUAAACAUCUUAAAGCCCCCUUUCAAUAAUUAUAUCAAUAGUUCAAAGCCGGCAGAUUACUUUUUCUAUUCAGACAACCAUGUAUUAUGUAGUCCCAGGCCAGCCCUCAACAUGUCCAUCAGUUUCCCAUCUUUAUGAAUUAUCUGAACCUCUCUGUGAUAUUCAGUGAUAGUCUAGCUAAGACUGACAAGUCUGGGCUUCUAACAUCAAAUCUGGAUUGGAGUGUUUAUUCAUAAGGCAAAGGGGCAAGUCUGAGAGGUUAGUUCACACUCUCAGUUACACAGAACUUUUCUUCUUCCUUAAGCUUUAAACAUAAAAUUAAUUUUGAAAAUACUGUAGAGAUAGUAUUCCAUUGCUUGCUGAAUCUUAUACCAUUAUAACUCUAUUUUUAUGUGCUGGUAUACAAUGAGAUAUAAAUAUGAGAAUUUCAGCAACUGUCUUGCAGGGUUAAGCUGUGCUUCUGACUGAUUUUGAAAAUUGUCCUUGUGUGGUAAAAUUCCUCCAAAGAAAAUUUCAUUGGCCCUGAAUGACAGCAUAAUAAUUUUUCUUUGAUAUCCAUGACUAACAACUCCCUGAAAACAGAAGUAGACAUAUGUUAUGCCCAAUUUAGUACCUAAUAGUUGGGACUUUAAAAAACAAAACAAAAUUUUCUUGAGCAAGUUUUUGGGUGAUUAAAUAUGAAUUAAAACUUCCAGUGAAAGAUUUCCAGAUGCCCCUGCUUUCCAUUUUGAUUAUGUUUUAGUUCCAUACUGACUUGGCAAAAAAAAAAAAAAAAUGCACUUACUUUACCUUAUGUACUUUUACAGGCAACAACUUUGACAUUUUAAACUUA